rnacentral:rRNA from 1 species
UACGGAGGGUGCAAGCGUUGUCCGGAUUUAUUGGGUUUAAAGGGUGCGUAGGCGGCUUUUUAAGUCAGUGGUGAAAGACAACAGCUUAACUGUUGCAGUGCCAUUGAUACUGAAGAGCUUGAGUACAGAUGAGGUAGGCGGAAUUUAUGGUGUAGCGGUGAAAUGCAUAGAUACCAUAAAGAACACCUAUUGCGAAGGCAGCUUACUAAGCUGUAACUGACGCUGAGGCACGAAAGCGUGGGGAUCAAACAGG